rnacentral:rRNA from 1 species
UGCGGAAGGAUCAUUAAAGAUUUUUGAAGGUUGUCGCUGGCUAGGUGAUUCUAGCAUUGUGCACGCCNACAUUUUUUCAUACACCCACCAAGUGAACCUAUUGUAGAUCGAGAGAUCUAUGUAUUUAUAAACCUCAUCUAUUGUAUGUCUACAGAAUGUAACCAAAAUUAUUAUACAACUUUCAGCAAUGGAUCUCUUGGUUCUCGCAUCGAUGAAGAACGCAGCGAAUUGCGAUAAGUAAUGUGAAUUGCAGAUUAUCAGUGAAUCAUCGAAUCUUUGAACGCACCUUGCGCUCCUUGGUAUUCCAAGGAGCAUGCCUGUUUGAGUGUCAUUUAAUCAUCAACCAACUUUGUUGGCUUGGAAUUGGGAUUUGCUGGCUUUGUCUCAGCUUUCCUUAAAUGCAUUAGCAAGUGAAACUAAUACAUGCACGGCCUCUGACGUGAUAAUGAUCGUUGCGGGCUGGAAGUGUAGAGGGGGGGUUCUUGCUUAUAAUAGUGCACGGCCUGGAAGCAUAGUGUGUGGCACGGCCUUAAUACGCUGGAAGCAUAAUAUGUGCACGGGCAAAUCGAUCUUCCAUUUUGACCUCAAAUCAGGUAGGACUACCCGCUGAACUUAAGCAUAUCAAUAAGCGGAGGAAAAGAAACUAACAAGGAUUCCCCUAGUAACUGCGAGUGAAGCGGGAAAAGCUCAAAUUUUGAAUCUGGCGGUCAUUUA